GACGAACGCUGGCGGCGUGCCUAAUACAUGCAAGUAGAACGCUGAAGGAGGAGCUUGCUUUUUCGGAUGAGUUGCGAACGGGUGAGUAACGCGUAGGUAACCUGCCUGGUAGCGGGGGAUAACUAUUGGAAACGAUAGCUAAUACCGCAUAACAGUAGAUGUUGCAUGACAUUUGCUUAAAAGGUGCAAUUGCAUCACUACCAGAUGGACCUGCGUUGUAUUAGCUAGUUGGUGGGGUAACGGCUCACCAAGGCGACGAUACAUAGCCGACCUGAGAGGGUGAUCGGCCACACUGGGACUGAGACACGGCCCAGACUCCUACGGGAGGCAGCAGUAGGGAAUCUUCGGCAAUGGACGGAAGUCUGACCGAGCAACGCCGCGUGAGUGAAGAAGGUUUUCGGAUCGUAAAGCUCUGUUGUAAGAGAAGAACGAGUGUGAGAGUGGAAAGUUCACACUGUGACGGUAUCUUACCAGAAAGGGACGGCUAACUACGUGCCAGCAGCCGCGGUAAUACGUAGGUCUCGAGCGUUGUCCGGAUUUAUUGGGCGUAAAGCGAGCGCAGGCGGUUAGAUAAGUCUGAAGUUAAAGGCUGUGGCUUAACCAUAGUACGCUUUGGAAACUGUUUAACUUGAGUGCAAGAGGGGAGAGUGGAAUUCCAUGUGUAGCGGUGAAAUGCGUAGAUAUAUGGAGGAACACCGGUGGCGAAAGCGGCUCUCUGGCUUGUAACUGACGCUGAGGCUCGAAAGCGUGGGGAGCAAACAGG
rnacentral:rRNA from 1 species